GACGAACGCUGGCGGCGUGCUUAACACAUGCAAGUCGAACGGAAAGGCCCUGCUUUUGUGGGGUGCUCGAGUGGCGAACGGGUGAGUAACACGUGAGUAACCUGCCCUUGACUUUGGGAUAACUUCAGGAAACUGGGGCUAAUACCGGAUAGGAGCUCCUGCUGCAUGGUGGGGGUUGGAAAGUUUCGGCGGUUGGGGAUGGACUCGCGGCUUAUCAGCUUGUUGGUGGGGUAGUGGCUUACCAAGGCUUUGACGGGUAGCCGGCCUGAGAGGGUGACCGGGCACAUGGGGACUGAGAUACGGCCCAGACUCCUACGGGGGGCAGCAGUGGGGAAUAUGGCACAAUGGGCGGAAGCCUGAUGCAGCGACGCCGCGUGCGGGAUGACGGCCUUCGGGUUGUAAACCGCUUUCGCCUGUGACGAAGCGGGAGUGACGGUAAUGGGUAAAGAAGCACCGGCUAACUACGUG
rnacentral:rRNA from 1 species